rnacentral:rRNA from 1 species
GUACGGGGGGGGGGCAAGCGUUGUUCGGAAUUACUGGGCGUAAAGGGCUCGUAGGCGGCCAACUAAGUCAGACGUGAAAUCCCUCGGCUUAACCGGGGAACUGCGUCUGAUACUGGAUGGCUUGAGUUUGGGAGAGGGAUGCGGAAUUCCAGGUGUAGCGGUGAAAUGCGUAGAUAUCUGGAGGAACACCGGUGGCGAAGGCGGCAUCCCUGGACCAACACUGACGCUGAGUGAGCGAAAGCCAGGGGAGCAAAGCAGG